UAUUGCGGUACUCUGACCGUGCAAAGGUAGCAUAAUCAUUUGUCUUAUAAUUGAAGACUGGAAUGAAUGGUUUGACAAGAAUACUUCUGUCUCUUUAUAAUUUUAUAGAACUUAAUUUUUAGGUGAAGAAGCCUAAGUAAAAUUGAAAGACAAGAAGACCCUAUCGAGCUUUAAGUAAAUUAGUAACCUAAGAAUAAUAUGAGAUAGAGAUAUAAGUUACUAAAAAAUUUUGGUUGGGGCGACAAAGGAACAUAAAAAGCUUCCUUUAUUUAGUUGUAUAUUUUCAAAUCUGGAUCCAAAUUUUUGUUGAUUAGAGAAAAUAGUUACCGUAGGGAUAACAGCAUAAUCUUUUUUGAGAGCUCAUAUUGAAAAAAAGGUUUGUGACCUCGAUGUUGGAUCAGAAUACCCUAAAGAUGCAGAAGUCUUUAAUGGUUGGUCUGUUCGACCAUUAAAUAUC
rnacentral:rRNA from 1 species